AGGAGCACGAGCUGCACUGCGUCCACCGGCCGGUCAGUGGACAGAGUGGGUGGUCCAACAGUGUGUGGACGGUACUGAGCUCUGUCCACCGGAGCCGACCACGGCGGAGGCGGCGAAUAUCAGAUGGAGAUGACAGAUGUGCGUGAAGACCUGGCCGCCUUUCGCCGGGAGGUGUCCGCCCUUCGUGAAGUGGUGUCCGCCCUUCGUGAAGAGAUGUCCGCCCUUCGUGGAGUGGUGGCCCCCCUUCGUGAAAAAGUGACCAUUCUAAACGAGGUGGUGGCAAAAGACAAUAAGGAGACAAAGAAGCUCAAGGGGGAGUACGCCACACUUCACGGUGCGGUGGUCCGCCUGGAGCAGGCGGUUAUCGAGGAGCGGACCACUCGCCAGACCGUGGUGGAGGAGCUGCGGCAGGAGGUCCGCCGGCGAGCGGCGCCAUCCGGCCGUCCCCAGGGAGCUAGAAAAAUGGCCAAUGACGUCAUAGUACAGACGGAGCCCCAGUCAUCGGCAGUCAGUGACGUCAUAGUACAGACGGAGCCCCA